rnacentral:rRNA from 1 species
ACGUAGGGUGCAAGCGUUGUCCGGAUUUACUGGGUGUAAAGGGUGCGCAGGCGGAUCUGUGCGUCGGAGGUUAAAGACCUCGGCUUAACCGAGGAAGUGCCUUCGAAACGGCGGAUCUUGAAUGUGAGAGAGGAUGAUAGAAUUCCUGGUGUAGCGGUGAAAUGCGUAGAUAUCAGGAGGAAUACCAGUGGCGAAGGCGGUCAUCUGGCUCACUAUUGACGCUCAGGCACGAAAGCGUGGGGAGCAAACAG